AUUGAACGCUGGCGGCAUGCCUUACACAUGCAAGUCGAACGGCAGCACGGGUGCUUGCACCUGGUGGCGAGUGGCGAACGGGUGAGUAAUACAUCGGAACACGUCCUGUAGUGGGGGAUAGCCCGGCGAAAGCCGGAUUAAUACCGCAUACGAUCUACGGAUGACAGCGGGGGACCUUCGGGCCUCGCGCUAUAGGGUUGGCCGAUGGCUGAUUAGCUAGUUGGUGGGGUAAAGGCCUACCAAGGCGACGAUCAGUAGAUGGUCUGAGAGGACGACCAGCCACACUGGGACUGAGACACGGCCCAGACUCCUACGGGAGGCAGCAGUGGGGAAUUUUGGACAAUGGGCGAAAGCCUGAUCCAGCAAUGCCGCGUGUGUGAAGAAGGCCUUCGGGUUGUAAAGCACUUUUGUCCGGAAAGAAAUCCUUGGCUCUAAUACAGUCGGGGGAUGACGGUACCGGAAGAAUAAGCACCGGCUAACUACGUG
rnacentral:rRNA from 1 species